GGCGGCGUGCCUAAUACAUGCAAGUCGAGCGAACGGACGAGAAGCUUGCUUCUSUGAUGUUAGCGGCGGACGGGUGAGUAACACGUGGAUAACCUACCYAUAAGACUGGGAUAACUUCGGGAAACCGGAGYUAAUACCGGAUAAUAUUUUGAACCGCAUGGUUCAAAAGUGAAAGACGGUCUUGCUGUCACUUAUAGAUGGAUCCGCGCUGCAUUAGSUAGUUGGUAAGGUAACGGCUUACCAAGGCAACGAUGCAUAGCCGACCUGAGAGGGUGAUCGGCCACACUGGAACUGAGACACGGUCCAGACUCCUACGGGAGGCAGCAGUAGGGAAUCUUCCGCAAUGGGCGAAAGCCUGACGGAGCAACGCCGCGUGAGUGAUGAAGGUCUUCGGAUCGUAAAACUCUGUUAUUAGGGAAGAACAUAUGUGUAAGUAACUGUGCACAUCUUGACGGUACCUAAUCAGAAAGCCACGGCUAACUACGUGCCAGCAGCCGCGGUAAUACGUAGGUGGCAAGCGUUAUCCGGAAUUAUUGGGCGUAAAGCGCGCGUAGGCGGUUUUUUAAGUCUGAUGUGAAAGCCCACGGCUCAACCGUGGAGGGUCAUUGGAAACUGGAAAACUUGAGUGCAGAAGAGGAAAGUGGAAUUCCAUGUGUAGCGGUGAAAUGCGCAGAGAUAUGGAGGAACACCAGUGGCGAAGGCGACUUUCUGGUCUGUAACUGACGCUGAUGUGCGAAAGCGUGGGGAUCAAACAGGAUUAGAUACCCUGGUAGUCCACGCCGUAAACGAUGAGUGCUAAGUGUUAGGGGGUUUCCGCCCCUUAGUGCUGCAGCUAACGC
rnacentral:rRNA from 1 species